AUUGAACGCUGGCGGCAUGCUUUACACAUGCAAGUCGAACGGUAACAGGGUGCUUGCACCGCUGACGAGUGGCGAACGGGUGAGUAAUGCGUCGGAACGCACCGAGUAAUGGGGGAUAACGCAGCGAAAGCUGUGCUAAUACCGCAUACGCUCUGAGGAGGAAAGCGGGGGACCUUCGGGCCUCGCGUUAUUCGCGCGGCCGACGUCUAAUUAGCUAGUAGGUGAGGUAAGGGCUCACCUAGGCGACGAUCAGUAGGGGGUCUGAGAGGAUGAUCCGCCACACUGGGACUGAGACACGGCCCAGACUCCUACGGGAGGCAGCAGUGGGGAAUUUUGGACAAUGGGCGCAAGCCUGAUCCAGCCAUGCCGCGUGUCUGAAGAAGGCCUUCGGGUUGUAAAGGACUUUUGUCAGGGAGGAAAUCCUUAGCGCUAAUACCGUUGAGGGAUGACAGUACCUGAAGAAUAAGCACCGGCUAACUACGUGCCAGCAGCCGCCGUAA
rnacentral:rRNA from 1 species